rnacentral:rRNA from 1 species
GAACGCUGGCGGCGUGCAUAACACAUUCAAGUCGAACGGUGAUGAGGACUUCGGUCCUCUGAUCAGUGGCGGACGGGUGAGUAACGCGUGAGCAACCUGCCUCAUACUCAGGGAUAACACAGGGAAACUUGUGCUAAUACCGGAUAACACAUACCGAUUGCAUGGUUGGUAUGUCAAAGCUCCGGCGGUGUGAGAUGGGCUCGCGUAUGAUUAGAUAGUUGGCAGGGUAACGGCCUACCAAGUCUGCGAUCUGUAGCUGGUCUGAGAGGACGAUCAGCCACAUUGGAACUGAGACACGGUCCAGACUCCUACGGGAGGCAGCAGUGAGGAAUAUUGGGCAAUGGGGGCAACCCUGACCCAGCCAUGCCGCGUGAGUGAAGAAGGUUUUCGAAUUGUAAAGCUCUUUCGGAUGUGAAGAUGAUGACGGUAGCAUCUAAAGAAGCCCCGGCAAACUUCGUG